GGAUUUAUUUCAGUACAUGCCGUGGUUAAUUGUUGUCCAUUUUAAUAUUAUGUGUUUGCCAUAUGUGUUGUAAAUUCAGUUAUAUCGCUAGGGGCCCGCUCAAUGGGUCCAGGACUUCACCGUCCUUGGUAUGCCACAAUGCGAUUUCAUGUUAAAGUUAUGGUUGCAACCAGUCGCCAGGGGCCGGCUCAAUCGGUCCAGGACGGAAAGGUCCUUGGUAUGCCACCGUGCGACUUUCAGUUACGAAUGUAUUGAUCAUAUGUGAUUCUCAUUUUAUUAACGUGGACAAUGAUUGCAUGUUCCCACACUGAGUGUACCCUGUAUGCUCAUCCCAUACUUAACAUUUUCAGGUUUUUAAAGGCCGGAGGCGCGUGGAAGGUCGAAUGGCGAGUCAAAUAUUUUGAAUUUAGCAUUACUUAAAAAUGUUAUUUUGAGUAAAGUAUGUUUAAAUAAAAAUUUAUUUCAC
rnacentral:lncRNA from 1 species